AUUGAACGCUGGCGGCAUGCUUUACACAUGCAAGUCGAACGGUAACAGGCCGCAAGGUGCUGACGAGUGGCGAACGGGUGAGUAAUGCAUCGGAACGUGCCCAGCCGUGGGGGAUAACUACUCGAAAGAGUAGCUAAUACCGCAUACGAUCUAUGGAUGAAAGCGGGGGACCGUAAGGCCUCGCGCGAUUGGAGCGGCCGAUGUCAGAUUAGGUAGUUGGUGGGGUAAAGGCUCACCAAGCCAACGAUCUGUAGCUGGUCUGAGAGGACGACCAGCCACACUGGGACUGAGACACGGCCCAGACUCCUACGGGAGGCAGCAGUGGGGAAUUUUGGACAAUGGGCGCAAGCCUGAUCCAGCAAUGCCGCGUGCAGGAAGAAGGCCUUCGGGUUGUAAACUGCUUUUGUACGGAACGAAACGGCUCGGGUUAAUACCCGGGGCUAAUGACGGUACCGUAAGAAUAAGCACCGGCUAACUACGUG
rnacentral:rRNA from 1 species